rnacentral:rRNA from 1 species
GACGAACGCUGGCGGCGUGCUUAACACAUGCAAGUCGAACGGAAAGGCCCUGCUUUUGUGGGGUGCUCGAGUGGCGAACGGGUGAGUAACACGUGAGUAACCUGCCCUUGACUUUGGGAUAACUUCAGGAAACUGGGGCUAAUACCGGAUAGGAGCUCCUGCUGCCUGGUGGGGGUUGGAAAGUUUCGGCGGUUGGGGAUGGACUCGCGGCUUAUCAGCUUGUUGGUGGGGUAGUGGCUUACCAAGGCUUUGACGGGUAGCCGGCCUGAGAGGGUGACCGGGCACAUUGGGACUGAGAGAGGGCCCAGACUCCUACGGGAGACAGCAGUGGGGAAUAUGGCACAAUGGGCGGAAGCCUGAUGCAGCAACGCCGCGUGCGGGAUGACGGCCUUCGGGUUGUAAACCGCUUUCGCCUGUGACGAAGCGUGAGUGACGGUAAUGGGUAAAGAAGCACCGGCUAACUACGUG